AGUGAACGCUGGCGGUAGGCCUAACACAUGCAAGUCGAACGGCAGCACAGUAAGAGCUUGCUCUUACGGGUGGCGAGUGGCGGACGGGUGAGGAAUACAUCGGAAUCUACUUUUUCGUGGGGGAUAACGGAGGGAAACUUCCGCUAAUACCGCAUACGACCUACGGGUGAAAGCAAGAGAUCUUCAGACCUUGCGCGAUUGAAUGAGCCGAUGUCGGAUUAGCUAGUUGGCGGGGUAAAGGCCCACCAAGGCGACGAUCCGUAGCUGGUCUGAGAGGAUGAUCAGCCACACUGGAACUGAGACACGGUCCAGACUCCUACGGGAGGCAGCAGUGGGGAAUAUUGGACAAUGGGCGCAAGCCUGAUCCAGCCAUACCGCGUGGGUGAAGAAGGCCUUCGGGUUGUAAAGCCCUUUUGUUGGGAAAGAAAAGCAGCAGGUUAAUACCCCGCUGUUCUGACGGUACCCAAAGAAUAAGCACCGGCUAACUUCGUG
rnacentral:rRNA from 1 species